rnacentral:rRNA from 1 species
AGUGGCAGACGGGUGAGUAAUGUAUAGGAAUCUACCUAGUAGUACGGAAUAAUUGUUGGAAACGGCAACUAAUACCGUAUACGCCCUACGGGGGAAAGAUUUAUCGCUAUUAGAUGAGCCUAUAUUAGAUUAGCUAGUUGGUAAGGUAAUGGCUUACCAAGGCAAUGAUCUAUAGCUGAUCUGAGAGGAUGAUCAGCCACACUGGAACUGAGAUACGGUCCAGACUCCUACGGGAGGCAGCAGUGGGGAAUAUUGGACAAUGGGCGAAAGCCUGAUCCAGCCAUGCCGCAUGUGUGAAGAAGGCCUUCGGGUUGUAAAGCUCUUUUAGUGAGGAAGAUAAUGACGGUACUCACAGAAGAAGUCCUGGCUAACUCUGUGCCAGCAGCCGCGGUAAUACGGAGAGGGCUAGCGUUAUUCGGAAUCAUUGGGCGUAAAGGGCGCGUANGCGGGUUAAUAAGUUAAAAGUGAAAUCCCAAGGCUCAACCUUGGAACUGCUUUUAAAACUGCAAGUCUAGAGAUUGAAAGAGGAUAGAGGAAUUCCUAGUGUAGAGGUGAAAUUCGUAAAUAUUANGAGGAACACCAGUGGCGAANGCGUCUAUCUGGUUCAAAUCUGACGCUGNNNGCGAAGG